GACGAACGCUGGCGGCGUGCUUAACACAUGCAAGUCGAACGGAAAGGCCCUGCUUUUGUGGGGUGCUCGAGUUGCGAACGGGUGAGUAACACGUGAGUAACCUGCCCUGGACUUUGGGAUAACUUCAGGAAACUGGGGCUAAUACCGGAUAGGAGCUCCUGCUGCAUGGUGGUGGUUUGAAAGUUUCGGCGGUUGGGGAUGGACUCGCGGCUGAUCAGCUUGUUGGUGGGGUAGUGGCUUACCAAGGCUUUGACGGGUAGCCGGCCUGAGAGGGUGACCGGCCACAUUGGGCCUGGGAUACGGCCCAGAGUCCUACGGGAGGCAGCAGUGGGGAAUAUUGCACAAUGGGCGGAAGCCUGAUGCAGCAACGCCGCGUGCGGGAUGACGGCCUUAGGGUUGUAAACCGCUUUCGCCUGUGAAGAAGAGUGAGUGACGGUAAUGGGUAAAGAAGCACCGGCUAACUACGUG
rnacentral:rRNA from 1 species